AGAAUAGAUGAUACACCUGCUAAGUGCAGUGAAAAAAUAGCUAGAUCUACAGAUGCACCCCCGUGUGCAAUAGCUCCUGCUAGAGGAGGGUAAACUGUUCAUCCUGUACCAGCACCAUUAUCUACUAUAGAAGAUGUAAGAAGAAGGGUUAGUGAAGGUGGUAGUAAUCAAAAACUUAUAUUAUUUAUUCGUGGAAAUGCUAUAUCUGGUGCACCAAUUAUUAGUGGAACAAGUCAAUUACCAAAUCCACCAAUUAUAAUAGGUAUUACUAUAAAGAAAAUUAUUACGAAUGCGUGAGCUGUAAUAAUAACAUUAUAAAUCUGGUCAUCCCCAAUUAGAGAUCCGGGUUGGCCAAGUUCAGCACGAAUAAGUAUUCUUAUUGAUGUUCCUACUAUUCCUGCUCAUGCUCCAAAUAUGAAGUAUAAAGUACCAAUGUCCUUAUGGUUUGUUGAGAAUAAUCAUUUUUG